UUCCAGCCCCUCAUCAAGACAGUACGCACAACACGCACCAUGGAGUUUGGGUUCAGCUGGCUUUUCCUUUUUGCUAUUUUAAGAGGCGUCCAGUGUGAUGUGCAGCUGGUGGAGUCUGGGGGAGGCUUGGUGCAGCCGGGAUGGUCUCUCAGACUCACUUGCACAGCUUCUGGAUACAAGUUUGAUGACCAUGGCAUGGACUGGGUCCGCCAAGCACCAGGGAAGGGGCUGGAGUGGGUCUCAUACAUUAAUUGGGAUAGUGGUAGCAUAUACUACGCCAACUCUGUGAAAGGCCGAUUCACCAUCUCCAGAGACAAGAGCAAGAAUGAGCUCUACCUACAAAUGAACAGCCUGAGAGCUGAGGACACAGCCAUGUAUUAUUGUUCUCUGACCAUGCUUGUGUCUCCUUCGGUAACAUUACAUGGAGCACAUUAG